rnacentral:rRNA from 1 species
UACAGAGGGUGCAAGCGUUAAUCGGAAUUACUGGGCGUAAAGGGCGCGUAGGUGGGCUAGAAAGUCAGAUGUGAAAGCCCUGGGCUUAACCUAGGAAUGGCAUUUGAUACUAAUGGUCUAGAGUGGAGUAGAGGGUAGCGGAAUUCUCGGUGUAGCGGUGAAAUGCGUAGAUAUCGGGAAGAACACCGGUGGCGAAGGCGGCUACCUGGGCUCCAACUGACACUGAGGCGCGAAAGCGUGGGGAGCGAACAGG